GAUGAACGCUGGCGGCGUGCCUAGUACAUGCAAGUCGAGCGAACGGACGAGAAGCUUGCUUCUCUGAUGUUAGCGGCGGACGGGUGAGUAACACGUGGAUAACCUACCUAUAAGACUGGGAUAACUUCGGGAAACCGUAGCUAAUACCGGAUAAUAUUUUGAACCGCAUGGUUCAAAAGUGAAAGACGGUCUUGCUGUCACUUAUAGAUGGAUCCGCGCUGCAUUAGCUAGUUGGUAAGGUAACGGCUUACCAAGGCAACGAUGCAUAGCCGACCUGAGAGGGUGAUCGGCCACACUGGAACUGAGACACGGUCCAGACUCCUACGGGAGGCAGCAGUAGGGAAUCUUCCGCAAUGGGCGAAAGCCUGACGGAGCAACGCCGCGUGAGUGAUGAAGGUCUUCGGAUCGUAAAACUCUGUUAUUAGGGAAGAACAUAUGUGUAAGUAACUGUGCACAUCUUGACGGUACCUAAUCAGAAAGCCACGGCUAACUACGUG
rnacentral:rRNA from 1 species